CCCGACUCCAGUGGUGCUAUCCCUGUGCCUUAAUUCAUGACCGCCGCCCCUCUGCUGCAAUUUGGCAGCACAACCACCACUGGUGAGCCUUGUUUGCCGACCUCAACAGCCCUUUCGGUGACUGCUGUUUGGGGUGAGGUGUUAAUGGUGGAUGGAGGAUAGAUUCAUCAUGGGUUUGGUUUCGGACCGGAGAAAAUAGUGCCAAAUCCUUUAUUGUGUUUCUGCUCGACAGUGCCGAAGACGACACAGAGCUAUGCCGUAGUCGGAUCUUGGAGUGAAGAAUUUUCAGCAGCCAACGUCCCUUAAUGGCAGCAAGUUCCAGCCAGCAACUCUUUGGUUUCAGUACAAACUAGUGGCUGUGAAUUAAGGACUUUGACACAAGACGAGCAUCUCGAUGUUGGAUUUGAUUGGAUUGAACCUGCUUUUGGAGGCGGGUACCUCUUGACUUAUCUUUUAUGAUAUUGUCAUUGGAUAUGUAUAGUAUUUUAUAACUACAUGCAAUGAACAUGUUUGCCUUUGGUA